CCCCGGACGAAACCCUAAGAGGCGAAGACGUCGAUUCUCAGCUCCAAUUCCUGAAUUUGAAGAUGAUAAUGACGAUGAUCGCAAGUCUAUUAAUAUGACCUAGGUAUUCAUUUCGAUGAUUUUAAAUUUUGCACGAUGAUGAAGAAGAUGAGAUCUUGAAUUCGUUGAGUUCUCUUAUUAUCCGUUGAGUGAAGCACUAAUUCUUCUCCUCCCAACAACUCCCAUGGAGAGAUUGCACCACCUUUACCACAACUACUUAAUUAACUACUAACGGUGUCAACCCAUAACAACUGUGGAAUUACAACCUGGUGAAAGGGAUGGGUGAAUUGAUCGGGGACAGGAAGGAGGUGGUUUGCUGCAGCAACACUGAGCUGCUUUCAGCUCGCCAUGGAUUUUUGACUACCAAACCUCCAACAGUUGAACUUUCACUUUAAGACCAAUUUGUGCAAAGGUUGCAUGCGCGAAGCAUACGAUGGUGUUGAUUGUUGGUGGUGAGUGUGGGAGGUGGUGGUGGCGCUGAUGGAUGUUGUUGGCGAUGAUUGAGUGGUGUGGAUGGCGGUGUUGUUGGCGGUUCUAGAGCAGUUUAACGACAAGGCUCUCAUCAGAGCAGGGUUGGAACGUGGAGAUGUGAUUUCAUUGAUAGAAGAGAGGACUCAGGCAAGAAAAGAUGGGAGCUUUGGGAAAUCUGACCAGAUCAGGAACGACUUGAAAGUUAAAGGGAGACCUACUAUGAAAAUUUAGUAUUAAAUGUACAUUGCUAUGUAGUACUUCUAAUAUAGAUUCUAAAGUCGUGCUUGGUAUAGUUUUUUUCUGUUUUUAAAAACGGAGAAAACAGGAGAAAACACG